rnacentral:lncRNA from 1 species
GUGUUGUAGUAGGCGUCUUGCGGGGGCACGGGAUGUACGGGACAGGCCUCUCCCUAAACAUAGAGAGACAGUGCUAUCGUGCUGACCUUGUUGCAGAGAAAACAGGAGAAGAAGAAGGAUGAUAAAAGAAUGUGGAAACGGCCAAAUAAGGCACAAUGUUAUCUGGUGUGAACCAAUCAGAGUGGGACAUGACAGCACGGUUAUCUAGGUAAAAAUGUAUAUAAGCUGUGUUUAGUAGUGAAUAAACGCCAUUUUGCCUCACUUAAAAAAAAAAAAAAAAAAAAAAAAAAAAAAAAAAAAAAAAAAAAAAAAAAA